GCAUAAAGUGACAGCAGGGCUAAGAAUACACAUGAGUACUAAAGAAAUGGAAAUUCUAAGAAAAAAAAAGAAUAAUCUCAAUAAAUCCGUUCUAGUUCUUAGAGAGAUAAAUACCGAAAAAUCUGUCAAUAAAUGACGAACCGGACGAAGGAUAUUUGAACUUUUUUUAUUCAAGUUAGGCCCUAAACAUGGCAAUUAUUCUUACAUUGAGGCUUGAACUUUUUCUUGUCCUAGUUAGUUGAAAUCCCUAGAGUUAAAGCCCCAAUGUGAGAACAAUUGCCAAGUUCAAACCCCA
rnacentral:lncRNA from 1 species